AUUCAUCAACACAUCAACAGUCGUCAGUCUUGUUUGAAACAGAUAACAGAGUUUUGAAAACUUGCAAAAUAUGUACAUGACUAUUAUUUUAUAAACCACUAUAAUUUUAAUUUGUGUUUUUACUGUUGGCUAUGGUAUUAGUUAUAAAAUGAGUAGCAAUAAUGUAGCAUACCUAAUAAAAAAAUCUUUAUUAUAACAAGAAAGAAACUGACUUAUAUGUUGAUAACAAUAGCAAUUGCUUUCCUGCAUAUCAUCAUUACUACUGCCUAUAUAGUACCUAUAUUUUGAGUUUUCUGUGGAGAACGAAUGGCUCAAGUUAAUGAAGCUAAUGAAAUAUCAAAACCUACCAAGUAAGUUUUCUUUUAAUAUCAACCUAUUAAAACUAGAUGUAAGUUACUUAAGUUUUGUGAAAUGGUUUAUUUACUUCUUCAUGAUUUAACUUCUUCAGCCCAGGCGAGUAAUGCCAGGUCUUCGGCAACAUUAAAAACAAGAAACUCUAUAAAAGCUAUAAAAUAUAAGUUGAUGUGUUCCAAUAAUCUAAUGAAAUUAAUUAACAUUUGCAAUAAGUAAACGUAGGUAGGCUACUGAGGCACCCAUACUUGAUUUGCUAUGUUUUCAUAUAGAAAAUAAAGUUUUCCUGUAUGGUAGCUGUUUUCCUAUUAUCACAGAUAGCUUAGCCCCUUAUCCUGUCUCGCUUUCUGUGUUUUAUUGGGUGCACUACAAGCUUUUUAGUGAAUCUAUAGCAAUGAUUAUUUUAUUUGAUAUUUUUCCUAUUAACUUAUGAUUAAGUUAAUACAAUAAUAAAAAAGAACUCUACAUAACCUCAUUUAUUAUAACUCUACUUAUAUUGUAUCAUUUUUCAUCACCUAGGCUUCUAGAAAGUCGUCUUUGUAAAAUACCUUGGUGACUCGUCGACUCGGGGUGACUUUGACCCACGUCGCGGAAAAGAUUCAAAUCAUUUAUCUCCGAUAUCUGUUAUCCGAAAUCGAUGUUUAACAUUUAUAUCCGUAGCCUUGAUCUAGGUUUUACAAUCAAUAUCUUGUCGAAUCUCGAUAUAUUACUUGAACUAUCGACAUAAAAUCUAGCUUCUUGCUUCAUCUUGUGAUUUUUUUGUCUGAAAACUUCGUAGCCUAUUAGAAAACUCAUUUCUAAAAGACUUAUAAUAUCG